CACCGCGGUUAUACGAGAGACCCAAGUUGUUAGACACCGGCGUAAAGAGUGGUUAAGAUUUGUCCAAGACUAAAGCCGAACGCCCUCAGAGCUGUUAUACGCACCCGAAGGUAAGAAGCCCAACCACGAAAGUGACUUUAUAUUAUCCGAACCCACGAAAGCUAUGACA
rnacentral:rRNA from 1 species